CCUACGGGAGGCAGCAGUGAGGAAUAUUGGUCAAUGGACGGAAGUCUGAACCAGCCAUGCCGCGUGCAGGAAGACGGCCCUAUGGGUUGUAAACUGCUUUUGUACGAGGGUAAACCUUAAUACGUGUAUCCAGCUGCAUGUACUUUACGAAUAAGGAUAGGCUAACUCCGGGCCAGCAGCCGCGGUAAUACGGAGGAUACAAGCGUUAUCCGGAUUUAUUGGGUUUAAAGGGUGCGUAGGCGGAUUGGUAAGUUAGAUGUGAAAUGUCCGGGCGUAACCCGGGAACUGCCUCUAAUACUGGUGAUCUUGAGUGUAGUAGAGGGAGGCAGAAUGUGUGGUGUAGCGGUGAAAUGCUUAGAGAUC
rnacentral:rRNA from 1 species